ACGCUAGCUACAGGCUUAACACAUGCAAGUCGAGGGGCAGCGGGUUGAAAGCUUGCUUUCAAUGCCGGCGACCGGCGCACGGGUGCGUAACGCGUAUCAAACCUGCCUCAUACUCGGGGAUAGCCUUGCGAAAGUAAGAUUAAUACUCGAUGUUGUUGCUUUCUCGCAUGGGAGAGUAACCAAAGAUUUAUCGGUAUGAGAUGGUGAUGCGUCCGAUUAGGUAGUAGGCGGGGUAACGGCCCACCUAGCCUUCGAUCGGUAGGGGUUCUGAGAGGAAGGUCCCCCACACUGGAACUGAGACACGGUCCAGACUCCUACGGGAGGCAGCAGUGAGGAAUAUUGGUCAAUGGGCGAGAGCCUGAACCAGCCAAGUAGCGUGCAGGAUGACGGCCCUCCGGGUUGUAAACUGCUUUUAGUUGGGAAUAAAAAAAGGGACUUGUCCCUUCUUGUAUGUACCUUCAGAAAAAGGACCGGCUAAUUCCGUGCCAGCAGCCGCGGUAAUACGGAAGGUCCAGGCGUUAUCCGGAUUUAUUGGGUUUAAAGGGAGCGUAGGCGGAUUGUUAAGUCAGCGGUUAAAGGGUGUGGCUCAACCAUGCAUUGCCGUUGAAACUGGCGAUCUUGAGUGCAGACAGGGAUGCCGGAAUUCGUGGUGUAGCGGUGAAAUGCUUAGAUAUCACGAAGAACUCCGAUCGCGAAGGCAGGUGUCCGGGCUGCAACUGACGCUGAGGCUCGAAAGUGUGGGUAUCAAACAGGAUUAGAUACCCUGGUAGUCCACACAGUAAACGAUGUAUACUCGCGGUUUGCGAUAGAUUGUAAGCCGCCAAGCGAAAGCAUUAAGUAUACCACCUGGGGAGUACGCCGGCAACGGUGAAACUCAAAGGAAUUGACGGGGGCCCGCACAAGCGGAGGAACAUGUGGUUUAAUUC
rnacentral:rRNA from 1 species